rnacentral:rRNA from 1 species
AUUGAACGCUGGCGGCAGGCCUAACACAUGCAAGUCGAGCGGUAGAGAGAAGCUUGCUUCUCUUGAGAGCGGCGGACGGGUGAGUAAUGCCUAGGAAUCUGCCUGGUAGUGGGGGAUAACGUUCAGAAACGGACGCUAAUACCGCAUACGUCCUACGGGAGAAAGCAGGGGACCUUCGGGCCUUGCGCUAUCAGAUGAGCCUAGGUCGGAUUAGCUAGUUGGUGGGGUAAUGGCUCACCAAGGCGACGAUCCGUAACUGGUCUGAGAGGAUGAUCAGUCACACUGGAACUGAGACACGGUCCAGACUCCUACGGGAGGCAGCAGUGGGGAAUAUUGGACAAUGGGCGAAAGCCUGAUCCAGCCAUGCCGCGUGUGUGAAGAAGGUCUUCGGAUUGUAAAGCACUUUAAGUUGGGAGGAAGGGCAGUAAAUUAAUACUUUGCUGUUUUGACGUUACCGACAGAAUAAGCACCGGCUAACUCUGUG